rnacentral:rRNA from 1 species
CGGUCGCCCCCAGGAAAAGGCUGGGUUUCGGGCUUGGCUCGACUCUCCCACCCUUUGUGAACGUACCUCUGUUGCUUUGGCGGCUCCGGCCGCCAAAGGACCUCCAAACUCCAGUCAGUAAACGCAGACGUCUGAUAAACAAGUUAAUAAACUAAAACUUUCAACAACGGAUCUCUUGGUUCUGGCAUCGAUGAAGAACGCAGCGAAAUGCGAUAAGUAAUGUGAAUUGCAGAAUUCAGUGAAUCAUCGAAUCUUUGAACGCACAUUGCGCCCCUUGGUAUUCCGGGGGGCAUGCCUGUUCGAGCGUCAUUACAACCCUCAAGCUCUGCUUGGAAUUGGGCACCGUCCUCACUGCGGACGCGCCUCAAAGACCUCGGCGGUGGCUGUUCAGCCCUCAAGCGUAGUAGAAUACACCUCGCUUUGGAGUGGUUGGCGUCGCCCGCCGGACGAACCUUCUGAACUUUUCUCAAGGUUGACCUCGGAUCAGGUAGGGAUACCCGCUGAACUUAAGCAUAUCAAUAAGCGGAGGAAGAUCAUUACGAGUUUUCGGGCUUCGGCUCGACUCUCCCACCCUUUGUGAACGUACCUCUGUUGCUUUGGCGGCUCGGCCGCCAAAGGACCUCCAAACUCCAGUCAGUAAACGCAGACGUCUGAUAAACAGUUAAUAAACUAAAAUUUCAACAACGGAUCUCUUGGUUCUGGCAUCGAUGAAGAAGCAGCGAAAUGCGGUAAGUAAUGUGAAUUCAGAAAUCGUGAAAUCAUCAAUCUUUGAACGCAAUUGCGCCUUGGUAUUCGGGGGGCAUGCUGUUCGAGGUCAUUCAACCUCAGCUCUGCUUGGAAUUGGGGCAGUCCUCCUAGCGGAAGCGCUCAAAGACUCGCCUGGCUGUUCACCCUCAGCGUAGUAGAAAUCACCUUCCUUGAAUGGAUGGCGUCCGCGGACGACUCUGACUUUCAGUGACUCGGAUUGUAGAGGAUACCCGCUGACAACUUAACUAAUCUAUCAUAUAG